GCUGACAUCAACUCUGCUGGCCUCUGUUCAGAAAAGUAAACAAAAGACAAUCAGUGUUGAGUUUGGCAUAACUAGCAAGUUCACAAAACUGCCAAAUCCUUCUCAGUGUAUUCAUCCAAUUAAUCCCCUUGAUUUAGGAGAUUUACUUAAGUGAGUAAAAUGCAGUGUAUUUGGUCUUAAAAGUGUUUGUACUAAGGUUGGGGUUUUCUAGUGAAUUAGUAAAUGCACAUUCUUCACUUACAUUCAGGUUUUAAUAAUGGUUGUUUUUGUUGUACCUUUGUAGAAAAAAAAUGAAUUCUGAAAGGCCUGCACUUACCAUGAGUAGUCCUGCCUUAAUAAACCAGUGUGCCAGAGGAGGAAUGGAAGAAGAAAAAGUUUGGCCAAAACAACAGCAACAGAACAAUUUUUCCUUGUUUCCUUCUACUAAAGGCUGGAAUUUCAGAGGGGUAAGUUUGAUGUUGUUUUAAUAUAUUUUUCCUGCUUCAUUCUGUGAGUGCUGAAAUCAUGGCAGAACAGCAGAAUAAAAAUCUUUCAUUUUGUGACCUUCUGCA
rnacentral:lncRNA from 1 species